GCUACCACUAAAUCUGCUGUCCCUGUGGAAAUGGAAUCAGCUGAGAAGGCUUUAACUAUAUAAGCACACCUAUAUUAUUGAUGCAAAAGGAGUAAUGGAAAUUCAAACAAGAAGAUAAAACGACAGAUGGCAGAUCGAUGGCUAACUGAAGACACAGCACUAUGCAUAGAGAAGCCCAGAAAGCAGCUGCAGGGAGGAGGAUGUGGACGAGAAGCAGAAACACCAUGGUGCAAGGAAGAAGAGCAGAGAAGCAGAGACCGCCAAGGAUCCCAGCUCCAGUUUGCAUGGAAUUCUGCUGUGCUCGGGGAAGCAUGAAUUUGCACAUCCAUGUGGUGGCCUGAAUGCGGUGUCCUAGCUGAAGCACUGUGACAUUCCUGUCCGUCUGAAGCAGCUUUCUCUGUAAUGGGAAUUAGCUCCAUAAAACUUUCAUGGGACACCCAGUGGGAGCGAGGUGAGAGGGCUGGGGAACUGGAUUAGGGCACCCCUUCAUCAUGUGGAGCGCUCAAUGACCCCAAGGGCAUUUAUUAAUUUUUCUGCUGUCUGGAGAGAAAUAUCUAUCUGUAAAGAGUGGUGAACCUUAUCUGGCAAUUGCACCCUGCCUGGCAGCCUAGGGAGCUGCCCUCACCUAUUUGUAGAGAUGGUCUACCACGUGCAAGGGGAGUCCAUUAUUAUCAUUCAUGGCCUCAUUCAAAGUCCACAAAGUGCCUAGGAGAAAAACACAUCUGCUAAUAAAGUUUCGUUUUCUGAUUUGGGGAGAAAAAGAAUAAAGGUUUUAAGCAUAAUUGUGGAUUGUGUUUAAAAAGUUGGGUCAUUUCUGCUCAUUCUGUGUUUUGACUGACAGGGCUGCAUUUCUAAGACUUUGAAAGGAGAUACUUCUAGGCAAAAAAAAGAAAAAGGAGCUAACUGAGGCAGAAUUCUUCUUUGUUG
rnacentral:lncRNA from 1 species